AAGGACGUGCUAAUCUGCGAUAAGCGUCGGUAAGGUGAUAUGAACCGUUAUAACCGGCGAUUUCCGAAUGGGGAAACCCAGUGUGAUUCGUCACACUAUCAUUAACUGAAUCCAUAGGUUAAUGAGGCGAACCGGGGGAACUGAAACAUCUAAGUACCCCGAGGAAAAGAAAUCAACCGAGAUUCCCCCAGUAGCGGCGAGCGAACGGGGAGGAGCCCAGAGCCUGAAUCAGUGUGUGUGUUAGUGGAAGCGUCUGGAAAGGCGCGCGAUACAGGGUGACAGCCCCGUACACAAAAAUGCACAUG
rnacentral:rRNA from 1 species